CUGCACGGCAAUUGAGUGGUUAGCGUGCAGACCUCACAGCCAAGAGACCAGGGUUCAAUUCCACCCUUGGCCAUCUCUGUGUGGAGUUUGCAUGUUCUCCCCGUGCAUGCGUGGGUUUUCUCCGGGUACUCCGGUUUCCUCCCACAUUCCAAAAACAUGCUAGGUUAAUUAGCGACUCCAAAUUGUCCAUAGGUAUGAAUGUGAGUGUGAAUGGUUGUUUGUCUAUAUGUGCCCUGUGAUUGGCUGGCCACCAGUCCAGGGUGUACCCCGCCUCUUGUGACCUCGUGAGGAUAAGCGGUAGCAAAUGAAUGAAUGUUUCGAUUCCAUGUUCACUUUUCCGACUGUGUUUCAGUUUCGUUUAUCUUGCGUUCUGUGUCACCUCGGUUAAAGUCCGCCCCGGUUAGUGCAUUUUUCGGUUAACAACCAAAAAUUUCACCUCGGCUUGCGUUCGCCCGCAAAAUACGAUCCUGUGUUUGAGGCAUACUUUAUUGGAGAUUGUUGCAAAUGUUGAUCCAAAAUUGAAGAAAAAUGCCAAAGUCAUGCAUCAAGUUUUUUUUGCUGUUAACUGAUAUUUGCCUGAAACUGACCUAUGUUCUGGCUGCACGGCGGUCGAGUGGUUAGCGUGCAGACCUCACAGCUAGGAGACCAGGGUUCAAUUCAACCCUCGGCCAUCUCUGUGUGGCGUUUGCAUGUUCUCCCCGUGCAUGCGUGGGUUUUCUCCGGGUACUCCGGUUUCCUCCCACAUUCCAAAAACAUGCUAGGUUAAUUAGCGACUCCAAAUUGUCCAUAGGUAUGAAUGUGAGUGUGAAUGGUUGUCUCACCCAAAGACAGCUGGGAUAGGCUCCAGCUCUCUAAUUAAUGGGAUCGUUUUCCAAAAAAUAUUUUGUCUCCUUCAACUAUCAGAUCGGAUCUAUUUUGUGUCUUAGACUCCAGAAGAAAUUCUCGAGUAGUUUUAUCGAGAUGUUAUCCGUUCACUGGCAAAUGUUUGCGCUCUGGCGGAGGUCUGAGCUCUCUUGAGUGUUCUUGUUGUUAAAUAUUUUCUCUUUUGGCACGCAGGGUUCAAACCGCUUUCUGUUUACCAUCUUCUAGUUGUCAGGCGUGUGUUGCAGAGGUUGCGGUGGGGGAGGAAAGGGAUUAAGAAGAGCGCGCCCUGCAUGAAGGGACAAAGAUGACAGGGGCUUGUCUUGCUAACACCAGGACCGCCAUCAUUGUCAGUUGGACGCAACCAGAAGAUUGGCAGAUCUCCACACAAAUCCUUGAUCUUCUUGCUUAGGAAGGCGGAGUCCGAGAGAGGCGCACCAGCCGCCACCCACACAAGAUCCUCCUCAAAUUUGGCCGGCAUCACUUCAUCGUCCUGCGGUGGUACUUGAAUGCACCGCAGUUGAUGUGAGACACAAAACUUCCACAGCGUGACUCAUGGAUCAUUCAUUAGUGGCAGCCUAGGAAUGGAACCCAAGCAAAUAUCAGGCAUCAAUCUGUCAUAUCGUCCAGCAUCCUGCUGUCAUCUCUUUACUGUGGAUGCUGACAUCGAACAGGUGCUACUUGACAACCUGUAAGGUGUCUUUGUCUAAAACGACACGCACUCAGAUCGAAUUGUUGUCAUUCGGGCACAUUGAAGGCUUUUCCAGCAUGAACCACAGUUUGGUCAGCAGUGGUUUUUGGAAGUCAUGAACUCUGACCUUAACUGAGAAGUAAAAGGCUCCGACGGCCCCCAGCAGGAGCAGCAGGGCCCCUGCGAUGAGCACCGCAAGCCCGGCCUUUAGGACGCGUCCGGUGGUGGCAGGCUUCACCGCCAAGACGUCAACGGGUCGCCGUGAGGAGUCAUUUGACCCGAAGAUGAACGGACUCUCACCGGAGGCAUGAGCUGCUGUACGUCCUCCGGUCCCGCGGAGGCGAUCGGUACUUUGUCUGAAUUCCCAGCCAUGACUGGAUCCCAAACACCUGAGGAGCCCAGGUCCACUUGCAGUAUGGCUCCGUCACAUUCUCUCUCUCUCUUACUCUC